GGCUGGUCUGAUGGUAGUGGGUUAUCAAAACAUAACAUUAGUGUCACUAAAGUUAGUCUACAACCCCUCACUGCUAAAUUUGACAGGCUUAAA
ensembl:misc_RNA Y_RNA Y RNA